rnacentral:lncRNA from 1 species
CCGAUGUUUGGUUCAAAGCCACAUGAUAGUGGAGGCGUUGAGCUUGAAUGUGUUCAGAAUCAGCAGCCAUCUCCAGAAAGGUCUGAGUGUAAGAUCCCUGUUGAAAGCCAUAUUCUCUCAUUGCUGCAACAGCUGUGCCGAGACAACAUGGAACUUCACAGCACCCAGUGCCUCCUGUUUGUUUUCCAGGUGAGACUGUGGAGAUGAGAAGGUGGUGGACACACUUGUUGGAAUGGAAUCCUCCUGCUGUGCAACCACACCCCACUCUGCCCUGCCCUGCACCCCGCUGCGCCUGCCCAUGCCAGCACUUCCCUCCUAUGUUCUCACAUCUCACUCAAACUGGUGACACCACAGGAAAAGAAAGACACAAGAUGUUGGAAUGGCUGUUUCCAUGGACACAAUCUCCAUAGUGACAAUGUGGGGAGGGGGGAGGGGUGGGCUGAUGGGGAAACGGGGAGUUAAAAGGGAGGGAUAAAAAAUAUAUAUAUAUAAAUCUAUUUUUAGUCUGGAAAGACUUUGUUUAAAUGAAAGGUGCGCUAUCCCUUUUGAUUCUAUUUUAAAAUUAUCUAGUUAACUCAAAAUUUGUUCCAAUGACAAUGAAAUUUAAAUGUGAAAUUGAACUGAACAAACUCAUCUCAUAAAGGAUGGGGUGUGGCUUUGAUCCUUAGCUUGUCUCACAACAAUUCAGUGAACACUAGGCCCAGGACUGAAAGAGCAGACAGACAAAUGACAACCACCCUUCCCUUGGUCAGAAUCUGUCUCACCGGGAAAGUUUGGGGGAGGGGGCAGAAUGGGGAUGGUCAUUUUCAAAAGUGCGGGGAAUGAUGUUUAAACACAAGAAUAAAUGUUUUCCUUUCCAGAAACACUAUUUAUUUUUAUUUUUUUUUUAUUUUUUGUGGGGGUGGGGAGUGGGGUGGAAGUGGUGAAAUUGGCAGUUGCCCCUACGUCAUGGCUGUCUCCUGGAGCACUGUGGCCCCACCCAGUAGGUAGAGAAGCUCCAUAGCAACAGCUGUACCGCGGAGUGUUUGUCUCUGGCACCCUUUCCCUGGCACAUUCCACAUAGCUGGGACCCUUGGGAGCCCACAGGACCCAUGGAAACCAUGAAGGCCCAGGCCUCUGCUGCUGAAACAAGCAGGGUCUGGGAGAGAACUGUGGUGUGGGCCAUGUGGGUGGACUAAGCUGACCGGAGCCAGCCACUUUAACACUUCUUUAUUGCUUUCAUUUUCAGAGUGGAAAGGGGCUUGUCAGACACAUGGCCCAUGCUACAGGAUUCUUUAUGUUGUAUUGUUUUAAUUUGUAAAUGUAUAAUUUUUAAAUAUAUGAGUUUUAAAAAAAGAAAAAAAGUACAAAAAAACCUUGUUAAGGCCUUAAGAAGGGAUAUGUGCAUCUUUCAGGGUCACUCUGCCGUGGGGAUAAAAUAGCUGUUUUACAAACAGUUUUAUUUAAAAAAACAAAAAUCAAAAAAAAUUCAAAAGAAAAACAUAAUAAACUUCAUUUUAACCUUG